rnacentral:rRNA from 1 species
GACGAACGCUGGCGGCGUGCUUAACACAUGCAAGUCGAACGCUGAAGCUUGGUGCUUGCACUGGGUGGAUGAGUGGCGAACGGGUGAGUAAUACGUGAGUAACCUGCCCUUGACUCUGGGAUAAGCCUGGGAAACUGGGUCUAAUACUGGAUAUGACAUGCCACUGCAUGGUGGUGUGUGGAAAGGGUUUUACUGGUUUUGGAUGGGCUCACGGCCUAUCAGCUUGUUGGUGGGGUAAUGGCCUACCAAGGCGACGACGGGUAGCCGGCCUGAGAGGGUGACCGGCCACACGGGGACUGAGGCACGGCCCAGACUCCUACGGGAGGCAGCAGUGGGGAAUAUUGCACAAUGGGCGGAAGCCUGAUGCAGCGACGCCGCGUGAGUGAUGACGGCCUUCGGGUUGUAAACCUCUUUCAGCACGGAAGAAGCGAGAGUGACGGUACGUGCAGAAGAAGCGCCGGCUAACUACGUG